rnacentral:rRNA from 1 species
GACGAACGCUGGCGGCGUGCUUAACACAUGCAAGUCGAACGGUAAGGCCCUUCGGGGUACACGAGUGGCGAACGGGUGAGUAACACGUGGGUGAUCUGCCCUGCACUUCGGGAUAAGCCUGGGAAACUGGGUCUAAUACCGGAUAGGACCACUGCCUGCAUGGGUGGUGGUGGAAAGCUUUUGCGGUGUGGGUUGGGCCCGCGGCCUAUCAGCUUGUUGGUGGGGUGAUGGCCUACCAAGGCGACGACGGGUAGCCGGCCUGAGAGGGUGACCGGCGACACGGGGACUGAGAUACGGGCCAGACUCCGACGGGAGGCAGCAGUGGGGAAUAUUGCACAAUGGGCGCAAGCCUGAUGCAGCGACGCCGCGUGAGGGAUGACGGCCUUCGGGUUGUAAACCUCUUUCAGCACCGACGAAGCGCAAGUGACGGUAGGUGCAGAAGAAGGACCGGCCAACUACGUGCCAGCCGCCGCAGUAA